rnacentral:rRNA from 1 species
AGAGUUUGAUCCUGGCUCAGGAUGAACGCUGGCGGCGUGCCUAAUACAUGCAAGUCGAGCGCGAAGAUCAGGAGCUUGCUCCUGAGAUUCGAGCGGCGGACGGGUGAGUAACACGUAGGCAACCUACCCUUGAGAUUGGGAUAACUACCGGAAACGGUAGCUAAUACCGGAUACGACAUUCCUGCAUAAGUAAGAAUGUUAAAAGGCGGAUUUAUCUGCCGCUCAUGGAUGGGCCUGCGGUGCAUUAGCUAGUUGGUGAGAUAGUAGCUCACCAAGGCGACGAUGCAUAGCCGACCUGAGAGGGUGAUCGGCCACACUGGGACUGAGACACGGCCCAGACUCCUACGGGAGGCAGCAGUAGGGAAUCUUCCGCAAUGGACGCAAGUCUGACGGAGCAACGCCGCGUGAGUGAUGAAGGGUUUCGGCUCGUAAAACUCUGUUGUUAAGGAAGAACACUUGAGGUAGUAACUGGCCUUGAGAUGACGGUACUUAACCAGAGAGCCACGGCUAACUACGUGCCAGCAGCCGCGGUAAUACGUAGGUGGCAAGCGUUAUCCGGAAUUAUUGGGCGUAAAGCGCGCGUAGGCGGUAAAAUAAGUCUGAUGUGAAAGCCCCCGGCUCAACCGGGGAGGGUCAUUGGAAACUGUUUUACUUGAGUACAGAAGAGGAGAGUGGAAUUCCAUGUGUAGCGGUGAAAUGCGCAGAGAUAUGGAGGAACACCAGUGGCGAAGGCGGCUCUCUGGUCUGUAACUGACGCUGAGGUGCGAAAGCGUGGGGAUCAAACAGGAUUAGAUACCCUGGUAGUCC